GUAAAGAGAUAGUACCCGAAGAUCAAGAAUUGGAGUACUCGGAAUUCGAUUCCCAUUACAGUGAGUAACCAUAUUAUCGUCUUAAUUAUCUACAGUAGUUUUAUUCGUUUUUGUGAUUUGAUAGAAAAAUGGGUUUAAAUGGAAAAUCUUUAUGUUUAUAAGAAAAAAUGUGAUUAAAUGAAAUGAUUUUAUAAAAUUGUCUUGAAAUUGAAAGAUGGUUUUGAAAAAGGAGUAAUUGGACACUAAUUACUAUGUUAUAAAUCAUAGUUUGAAUUGAAGAGCUUAUGAUAAUAUUGGCAUGAAUGGUUGAAUUGGUAAAUGUGUUGAAAAUGUAUGAACUGUUGAUUUGCCUUGAGAGGCUGUAAAACAAAAUUAUUGCCAUGUCAUGCUAUUGAAUUUUAUUGAAUUAGUGGGUUAUAAAUUGGUUGUUAUAGUGGACGGGUUCUGUGGACCAGCCUAUUAGAGGGACACGGUAACCCUAUUAUAUUCAUACCUCAACAUGAGAGGCACAGUUGGAUAACUCCUAAGGUUAAAACUUUAGAGUUCGCUUCACGCCAAACCACCACGUGAGGGUGAACUCAGCCAAUGCCAAGGAACGGCUAUGUUUUCAAAAUAAAAACAUGAUUUAUGCGUACAUAACUUUUUAACAGCCUUGGCGGACUCGGUUGGGAUAGCCCUCAGACCAAGGUAUCCUUGAUAACUGAGUAUGAGAAUGAUUUUGGCACGAGCCAAAGCUUUUAAGAAAUUCAUAAGCCAUGUUGAUUACUCGAUUUAUAUGAAUUGAUUUUGUUUGGUUGAAAUGAGUUGAAAGGUGAUGAAUUACAGUAUGUUAAACUAUUUUAUCUAUCUCCAUUUACUCAGCUUUAGAUAUUUUAGAUAGUAUUUGUUUACUCACUGGGAUUAUAUAAUCUCACCACCCUCCUUUCCACCCUUUUCAGGCUCAGGAUAGUCUGUAGAUAACUCAUUUCGUUGAAGGCUACAGUUGGACUUGCAUCCUUAAAAAUUGAUGGUUUACCGCUUUUGAUACUUUUGGUCGUUCGUGGGCCCACGUGUCACUGUAAAUUAAAUCUUAUGCUUUGGUUAUCUGUAUUACAGUAUGUAUGAAUUUAUUUAGCUUUUACGCUACAAAAAUUAUUUACCGGUAACUCUAUAAAUAUUAUUUUAUAAGAAAAUAAAAUAUUUUAUUGAAUAUUUUUUUUAUAUUCAAAUAGGUAUAGUUUCACUUUAAAUGAGUGUUUUAGACAUCUAAACUUAUUUUUGAUUAUGAAAUAUGUGUUUUCCACUCGCAUACUAUAUUUUUAGCUGGUUUUGAGAUUUUUAAGGAAAAAAGACCAAAAUGUCCCUGUGAGAAAAAAUUAUUUUUCUAUUGUUUUGAUUUGGAAAUAGUUUAUAAUCUCUCAAAACAUGAUACUUAACAACUAUUCCUCACAAGGAAGGUGUGAAAACUGAUAUUAAAGCCUUCUGAGGUUUCGAUUGGCAUUCCGGGCAGUAAAUGUCUAUCGGGACGUCACGGUGAUUGUCACGGGCUCGAGGGGAGUACCGGGUCAUGACAAUCUUUUACAAAGCUUUAAAGCCUACUAUUUAUAAAUUGUUUUCUUGGAAAUACUUAAAUGUUUUACAAACUGUGAUUCUUAUUUCAAAGAUUUAAGAAUGGGUUUUCAACAAAACUUUAUAAACUCCUUUUUAAAUGAGUUUGUAUCCAUCGAAACCAUAGUUGUUAAAUCGAGAUAUGUAUCGUGUAUCGAAAUCUUAUUUUUUAGUAUCACGUAUCGUAUCGUAUCGUAUCAUAAGAUAUGGAAAAAAAUUUUAAAAUUAAUUAUAAAUAACAUUUAUAUAUGUCAAAUAAAGAAAAAAAUGAAAUAUAUUAUAUCUUUUAACAAAAAUAAAGAAUAUAAGGCGUAAAUUGAAAAGAUGAUUAUUUUUUAAUUUAAACUUUCAACAUGUAUCUUAAUAAUAUAGAUUUUUAAAUAAAAUACAUAUUUUAUCAUAUUAAUUUAUUAAUUAAAAUUUAAAACACUUAUCAUGUUAAAAUUAAAAGGAAAUUCAAUUUUUUUAGUAUUUUUUUGUUUAAAAUCUAAAAAUUGAAACGCAAAAAAUAUAAUUUUUUAUGUUUCAACUCAAAAAUAAUAAAAAAUAAAAUCUUUAAUAAUUAAUUUAAUAUAAGUUUAUAAAAAGUGUAUUGAUUGUAUCGUACAAUACACCCCCAUAUCAUAAAAUACGUAUCGCGUAUCGUUUGAUACACUUCGAUAGUUAAUCAAAUGCGAUAUAGUUAUAGAUACGUAUCAUUUUCUGCUAGUAUUGUAUCAUAUAAUACGAUACAAAUAUCAUAUUGCAUGAUAAUGAUAACUAUGAUCAAUACUAUAGUAUUGAAGCUUUGUUUUGACAUGUGAUUCUACUUGACACAUAACUCACACCUUAGGAUGUUUGAUUUUGUUUGGGGAUUGACUUCCCAAAUUCUUUGAAUAUUUGUACUGUUAAAAGGCAAACUUUAAUCCAUUUGAAUGAAUUACUUGCAUUAUUUUUAAAAAGUGUCUUUGAUAAACAGUCUCCCGUUUAAAUUGUUCCCCCUCAUCGUAUCUGCUCACAAAGUUAUUUAUACUCACACAUUUAAAAGGCAAUUGUCUUGUAGAUCAAUAGUUGCUUGGCUCGCUAUCCCUUGGGAAGAGCCAAUACUUCGGUCAUUCUUGGGUAGCUGAAUAUAUGGCAUCUAUUAGGCAUUAACCCUUUUUGUUUCGAGUCAUACUCUGCUAGUCCUAUUUAGUUUCGUCAUUUAUGCUUAACCAUUAUGAAUAUGACUAUGUUUAUAUCUUGUAUUAAAUGACAUGUACUUGUGAUAUGCCAAGAAUGACUACUUUCGUAUUCGCAACAAGAUGACCUAUACUUGUUUUUUUUAUAAGUAUUGCUUCUGCAUUUUAAGCACGUGAGUGUGCAAACUAAUUUGACAUAUUCCUAUGUGUUAUAAUAUGUUCAUGCAUGUUUGAUAUACGAUUUCAUGGUGAUGAGUCCCAUGAGGUAAUCCCAAGUAUUUGAUUUAAUUGUUCAUUUUAGGCUUGCAUGGGUUAAGAGGGUAACUCUCAUCGAUAUCCUUGCACCGAUCAUGGUCCUUGGGUUUGGGUCUAGACAUCCAAUAGCUAACUCGAGCAAAACUUCUUCCAAGGGUUGACCUUCUCUCCAUGGGGAUCUAUCCUUCAUGCCUUAACUUGGAAAAAUACCUUUCUUUGGGAAAAUUCAUCCAACACCCAAAUCAUAUCAAAGUAUAAUCCAUUCACUUAAAUUAAAACAAUAUCAUUAAGCAUAAGGUUUCAAUUUCACAGUUUUCUAGAAGAACCUACUCUUUUAGAUCCAUUUGACAUGCACGAUUUCUUUUCUGUCGAUACGCCCUAAAAUUUUAAUUUGAAUAUUUUCUGUAUGUACUUGCCUAGUUAAUUCAAUAGUCUUUUUAAUUGCUUUUCAAAAUGAAACUCUAUUUUUUAAUUGUCCGAUUAUAAAUUCUGUAAGAAUUUAAGGGUGCCCAUACAUAUUAGCAAUUCUUGUAAUAGCAAUGUUGAGUUUUGGGUUCAUAAAAUUAAGUUUUUUUGGCACAUUCAUGUGAAGUUUUUCGCUCUUUUUUUUUGUAGCUUUAAUUAAUAAUUUUAGAAAUGAUUAUGACUUGAAUUAAAUGUUAUAAUUGAAGUUACAUAAUUUUAACAAACAUUCUCUUAAUAGAAGAAGAGGAGGAAAUAAGGUGAAAGGGAAUUUAAUUGAUUAAAAAAAAAGGUGAAGAAAAAAAGAAUCGUUGAGAGGGAGUUGGAGAGAGAAAAAAAUAUUUUUAUCUUUUGUGUAUUUUUUUAAUAUUAAUAUUUAAUUAAGUCUUCAAAAAUUUUAAAUUUACUUUUAUAGUAAGGACUUGUAUUUGAUGUAGAGACAAUGUAUAGUUUUUAUACACGGUCAAACCAUUAAAUAGUGGCAACUCAUUAAAAAAUAAAUUUAAAAAAUAUUAAAAAAAUUAAAAAUAAAUAUUAUUAUUUUUAAAAAAAUAAAAAUAUAUUUCUUAUCUCUAACUCCUUCUCACCCAAUCUCCUCUUCUUCUUCUUUUGUUCUUGUUCUCUUCAGUCCAAAACCCUAAAUUUUUAAUUUGAUUCGCCAAAGUAAUAUUUUUUUCACUGUUUAUUUUCUUUUCUUUAAUAUUUAUGGUUGUUUAUUUAUGGCUCUUAAUCUGAUUAAUAAAAGAGGCUUUCUAAACACUUUUGAGAGUUGAUUAUAGACUUGACAUUAAUAGUACGGGGUUAAUUAUUGUGUGUGACUAGGCUGUGUGCUACAGAGGACAAGUGUUGCUAUUGUUGGAUUUUGCAUGGCUGCCACUGUUGUUAUUGCAGAAAUGAUUGUGACAAGGACAAAAUAGAAGUGUAUCUUAAUGAUGCCAAGGCUUGAGUAAGUCUUAGCACUGCGCAUAAGACUUUCCCCAACGUGCCUCCUUCAAAUUCUGUCCAAUUCAUUCAAAUGUCUCCAAAAGAUAAACCUCUCGUCACUGUAUGACCCGCCAAGGCAACGACUCAAACGAUAUUAACAAGAAAGCUCAACAUCAAAUACAAACUCUUAUAGCAAAUUUCUGUGCCGUGUUUACUUCGUCG
rnacentral:lncRNA from 1 species